AACGAACGCUGGCGGCAGGCCUAACACAUGCAAGUCGAGCGAGGACUUCGGUCCUAGCGGCGGACGGGGGAGGAACGCGUGGGAACGUGCCCUUUGCCUCGGAAUACCCCUGGGAAACUGGGAGUAAUACAGGAAGAGCUCCUUGGGGGCAAGAUUCAUCGGCGAAGGAUCGGCCCGCGUUGGAUUAGGUAGUUGGUGGGGUAAUGGCCUACCAAGCCGACGAUCCAUAGCUGGGUUGAGAGGAUGAGCAGCCACACUGGGACUGGGACACGGCCCAGACUCUUACGGGAUGCAGCAGUGGGGGAUCCUAGACAACGGGGGGAACCCUGAACGAGUCAUGCCGCGUGAGCGAUGAAGGCCUUAGGGUUGUAAAGCUCUUUCAGCUGGGAAGAUAAUGACGGUACCAGCAGAAGAAGCCCCGGCUAACUCCGUG
rnacentral:rRNA from 1 species